rnacentral:ncRNA from 2 species
AUAGGUAUGUGCGGGAGCUACUGUUAGUAGCUGAGAGGCCGGGUAAACCCGGCGACCGUCUGAACCUGAUCUGGGCAAUUCCAGCGAAGGGAACGUGUUAGGUUUAAAG